rnacentral:rRNA from 1 species
GAAUAUUGGUCAAUGGACGAAAGUCUGAACCAGCCAUGCCGCGUGCAGGAUGAAUGCCCUAUGGGUUGUAAACUGCUUUUAUUUCGGAAGAAACCCCCCGCCGUGUUGGGGGCUGACGGUACUAAACGAAUAAGGACCGGCUAAAUCCCGUCCAGCAGCCGCGGUAAUACGGAGGGUCCAAGCGUUAUCCGGAUUUAUUGGGUUUAAAGGGUGCGUAGGCGGGAUAAUAAGUCAGAGGUGAAAGCCUACAGCUCAACUGUAGAACUGCCUUUGAUACUGUUGUCCUUGAGUUCGGUUGAAGUGGGCGGAAUAUGACAUGUAGCGGUGAAAUGCAUAGAUAUGUCAUAGAACACCAAUUGCGAAGGCAGCUCACUAAACCGAUACUGACGCUGAGGCACGAAAGCGUGGGGAGCGAACAGG